rnacentral:rRNA from 1 species
UACGAAGGGGGCUAGCGUUGCUCGGAAUCACUGGGCGUAAAGCGCACGUAGGCGGAUCUUUUAAGUCAGGGGUGAAAUCCUGGAGCUCAACUCCAGAACUGCCUUUGAUACUGGGGAUCUCGAGUCCGGGAGAGGUGAGUGGAACUGCGAGUGUAGAGGUGAAAUUCGUAGAUAUUCGCAAGAACACCAGUGGCGAAGGCGGCUCACUGGCCCGGUACUGACGCUGAGGUGCGAAAGCGUGGGGAG